rnacentral:rRNA from 1 species
AUUGAACGCUGGCGGCAGGCCUAACACAUGCAAGUCGAGCGGAUGAAGGGAGCUUGCUCCUGGAUUCAGCGGCGGACGGGUGAGUAAUGCCUAGGAAUCUGCCUGGCAGUGGGGGAUAACGUCCGGAAACGGGCGCUAAUACCGCAUACGUCCUGAGGGAGAAAGGGGGGGAUCUUCGGACCUCACGCUAUCAGAUGAGCCUAGGUCGGAUUAGCUAGUUGGUGGGGUAAAGGCCUACCAAGGCGACGAUCCGUAACUGGUCUGAGAGGAUGAUCAGUCACACUGGAACUGAGACACGGUCCAGACUCCUACGGGAGGCAGCAGUGGGGAAUAUUGGACAAUGGGCGAAAGCCUGAUCCAGCCAUGCCGCGUGUGUGAAGAAGGUCUUCGGAUUGUAAAGCACUUUAAGUUGGGAGGAAGAGCAGUAAGUUAAUACCUUGCUGUUUUGACGUUACCAACAGAAUAAGCACCGGCUAACUUCGUG